AUUUAUUUCAGAAGAAAUUUAUUCUAUAAGCAUAUAUUGGGAAUUUGAGCAAUGGGUAUAUGUGGGCUUUUGUCCCUGAAGAGCCACAUGUUAUAAUUAAAAAUGCUCCCCAAGGACCUUGCUGCAUAUCCAGUGCUGGGCAUUCCAUAAUUAUCCAGGAGCUCACAGGCUACACGGGACGGACAGAUGUAAAUAAAUAUAGAAAUGUGUUAAGAGCUACAGUGGAGGAGCAUGCAAUGGAUGAUUUCAAUGCUUGUCAAAGUAUCUUAAUGUCCCACUUUUAAAAAAUCCAAUAAUACUUUGGGCAUCAUCUGGGGCUUAGAAAAAGAACGUAAAAAGAAGGUA
rnacentral:lncRNA from 1 species